CAAUAGCGUAUAUUUAAGUUGCUGCAGUUAAAAAGCUCGUAGUUGGAUUUCGGGUGGGAAUGGCCGGUCCGCCGUUUCGGUGUGCACUUGCUACGCCCACCAUGCUGCCGGGGACGUGCUCUUGAGUUCACGCUCGGGACACGGAGUCGGCGAGGUUACUUUGAGUAAAUUAGAGUGUUCAAAGCAGGCCUACGCUCUGAAUACAUUAGCAUGGAAUAACACGAUAGGACUCUGGCCUAUCUUGUUGGUCUGUAGGACCGGAGUAAUGAUUAAGAGGGACAGUCGGGGGCAUUCGUAUUUCAUUGUCAGAGGUGAAAUUCUUGGAUUUAUGAAAGACGAACUACUGCGAAAGCAUUUGCCAAGGAUGUUUUCAUUAA
rnacentral:rRNA from 1 species